rnacentral:rRNA from 1 species
GACGAACGCUGGCGGCGUGCUUAACACAUGCAAGUCGAACGGAAAGGCCCUGCUUUUGUGGGGUGCUCGAGUGGCGAACGGGUGAGUAACACGUGAGUAACCUGCCCUUGACUUUGGGAUAACUUCAGGAAACUGGGGCUAAUACCGGAUAGGAGCUCCUGCUGCAUGGUGGGGGUUGGAAAGUUUCGGCGGUUGGGGAUGGACUCGCGGCUUAUCAGCUUGGUGGUGGGGUAGUGGCUGACCAAGGCUUUGACGGGUAGCCGGCCUGAGAGGGUGACCGGCCACAUUGGGACUGAGAUACGGACCAGACGCCUACGGGAGGCAGCAGUGGGGAAUAUUGCACAAUGGGCGGAAGCCUGAUGCAGCAACGCCGGGUGCGGGAUGACGGCCUUCGGGUUGUAAACCGCUUUCGCCUGUGACGAAGCGUGAGUGACGGUAAUGGGUAAAGAAGCACCGGCUAACUACGUG